UCCCUGUUCAUCUUCAAAAUAUAACUUCCCUUAGAGAACUUGACUUAUCUGAUAAUCAGUUCAAUUCUUCCAUGGCCAUAUGGUUACAUGAUUUUAGUCAUCUUGAGGCUCUCGGCCUUUUCUCUAAUAAUUUGCAAGAUAGAAUUCCAAGUGCCAUUGGAAACUUGACUUCUCUCAACAUACUGGACUUGGCAUUGAACCAAUUUGAAGGAGCAAUUCCAAGUGACAUUGGAAACUUGACUUCCCUAAACAGCCUUGACUUGUCAAACAACACACUUGAAGGAUCGAUUCCGAGUGCCAUAGGAAACUUGACUUCCCUCUACGAACUUGACCUAUCAGACAACAAUCUUGCAGGAGAAAUUCCAAGUGCCAUUGGAAACUUGA
rnacentral:misc_RNA from 1 species